GGUGGGCAGGGUUCCCGAGAGCGGCCAAAGGGGAGCAGACUGUAAAUCUGCCGUCAUCGACUUCGAAGGGUUCGAAUCCUUCCCCACCACCA
rnacentral:tRNA from 1 species